UGACACCUGCCCAAAGACUCAACAGAAGCUCUCUCAUCUUUGUUUGACUCCUAAUUAUUGUGUCAAGGGUCUUGUCACUAGUUGGUGUGAACAUAAUGGUGUUCCGGUCCCUGAUGGCCCACCAGAGUCUCUUGAUCUCNNNNNNNNNGGCUGUCAUUGUGUCAGUCGGAGUCUGCAAAUUCAAAAUCAGUGGACAGCAUCAGCUCUGGCA
rnacentral:misc_RNA from 1 species